GACGAACGCUGGCGGCGUGCUUAAUACAUGCAAGUCGAACGGAAAGGCCCUGCUCUUGUGGGGUGCUCGUGUGGCGAACGGGUGAGUAACACGUGUGUAUCCUGCCCUUGUCUUUGGGAUAACUUCAGGAAACUGGGGCUAAUACCCGAUAGGAGCUCCUGCUGCACGGUGGGGGUUGGUAAGUUUCGGCGGUUGGGGAUGGACUCGCGGCUUAUGAGCUUGUUGGUGGGGUAGUGGCGUACCAAGGCUUUGACGGGUAGCCUGCCUGAGCGGGUGGCCGGCCACAUUGGGACUGCGAUACGGCCCAGACUCCUACGGGAGGCAGCAGUGGGGAAUAUUGCACAAUGGGCGGAAGCCUGAUGCAGCAACGCCGCGUGCGGGAUGACGGCCUUCGGGUUGUAAACCGCUUUCGCCUGUGACGAAGCGUGAGUGACGGUAAUGGAUAAAGAAGCACCGGCUAACUACGUG
rnacentral:rRNA from 1 species